CUGCAUUUUGUUUAACAAGCAAAUCCCAGUUUUGUAGUUCUUUAAAGAAAAAAAAAAGCCCACAAAGAAACGUAAACCAAUGAAGAAGGGGCCUCACCUGGCUCGGCCUCGGUGUUCAGCGUACCAGGCAGUAAUUCUCUCCUCCCACAUUUCCGGAGUCAUUUGAUACAGAUUUAUUACCUACCAAAAAAGAGAGCAAAAAUAAAAACCCACACACAAAGUAAGUUCGGGUAUUGUUUGCCAUUUUUACAAUUAUGCAUCAUUUUUACAAAACAGCAAAGCUAUUUUUAUAGAGCCGCAUGCAGGGAGACAGUCCCACGCAGAGGUGGGCAUGUAAACAAGACCAUUCAAUUGGAAAAGCAACUGCAGUAUUACUCAGACCUAGGCGCACCCCUCAUCUGGCGAGGCCUUUCUUUCCUGUCUUUGCUCUGGGACAAGCUCCACUGCCAGAGACGGUGCUUACUAGCACAGAAGCAGUCAAAGGCCAGGUAAAGGCAGAAGAGGUGGCCUUUGAAUUUGCGGCCCAAAAUCUAUGGAAAGAAAAUGUAGCCUUUGAGACGGAAGCCCUUCAAAGAGAGGUAGUGUCCUUGAGAGCCUGGGGCUCCUCUCAGCCGGGAAGAGGGCAAGAGAAAAGGAACUCAACUCCUGGCCAGGAAGUGCUCGGAUUUAAUGAAAAUGACAAUGACUGCUUCAUCACUGUCAGGCUGAUACUGAUUGAAAGGACACAUUUUUCCUGUUACUAAUAUUCUGGAUCAAAGCAUAAAAGGCAGCAUAUGUUUUAGUUGAAUUAAA